rnacentral:rRNA from 1 species
GUGGGGAAUAUUGCGCAAUGGCCGAAAGGCUGACGCAGCGACGCCGCGUGAGGGAUGAAGGCCUUCGGGUUGUAAACCUCUGUCGGGAGGGACGAAGCUCUGACGGUACCUCCAAAGGAAGCACCGGCUAACUCUGUGCCAGCAGCCGCGGUAAUACAGAGGGUGCAAGCGUUGUCCGGAAUCACUGGGCGUAAAGGGCGCGUAGGCGGCCUGGUAAGUCGGGGGUGAAACGCUGCGGCUCAACCGCAGCACGGCCUUCGAGACUGCCUGGCUCGAGCACAGUAGAGGCAGGUGGAAUUCCCGGUGUAGCGGUGGAAUGCGUAGAGAUCGGGAAGAACAUCGGUGGCGAAGGCGGCCUGCUGGGCUGUUGCUGACGCUGAGGCGCGACAGCGUGGGGAGCAAACAGGAUUAGAAACCCGAGUAGUCC